rnacentral:rRNA from 1 species
CGGCGCACGAGUGCGUAACGCGUAUGCAACCUACGCUCUAACUGGGGAAUAGCCCCGAGAAAUCGGGAUUAAUACCUCAUAACAUUUAUCAUUCGCAUGUUUGAUAAAUUAAAGUUUCGACGGUUAGAGAUGGGCAUGCGUGACAUUAGCUAGUUGGUGAGGUAACGGCUCACCAAGGCUGCGAUGUCUAGAGGUUCUGAGAGGAUUUUCCCCCACACUGGUACUGAGACACGGACCAGACUCAUACGGGAGGCAGCAGUAAGGAAUAUUGGGCAAUGGACGAAAGUCUGACCCAGCUAUGCCGCGUGCAGGAUGACGGCCCUACGGGUUGUAAACUGCUUUUGUAUAGGAAGAAACCUCACUACGUGUAGUGGGCUGUCGGUACUAUACGAAUAAGCACCGGCUAACUCCGUGCCAGCAGCCGCGGUAAUACGGAGGGUGCAAGCGUUAUCCGGAUUUAUUGGGUUUAAAGGGUGCGCAGGCGGAAUGAUUAGUCAGUGGUGAAAUCCUACAGCUCAACUGUAGAACUGCCAUUGAUACUGUCAUUCUUGAGUACAGUUGAAGUGGGCGGAAUGUAUCAUGUAGCGGUGAAAUGCAUAGAUAUGAUACAGAACUCCUAUAGCGAAGGCAGCUCACUAAACUGUUACUGACGCUCAGGCGGGAAAGCGUGGGGAGCAAACAGGAUUAGAUACCCUGGUAGUCCACUCCGUAGACGAUGGGCACUAGUUGCAGC